rnacentral:rRNA from 1 species
UACGGAGGGUGCGAGCGUUGUCCGGAAUCACUGGGCGUAAAGGGCGCGUAGGCGGGAUGGCAAGUCAGUCGUGAAAUCUCUCGGCUCAACCGAGAAACGUCGGCUGAUACUGCCGUUCUUGAGGGAUGCAGAGGAGACUGGAAUUCCCGGUGUAGCGGUGAAAUGUGUAGAGAUCGGGAGGAACACCGGUGGCGAAGGCGGGUCUCUGGGCAUUACCUGACGCUGAGGAGCGAAAGUGUGGGGAGCGAACAGG